CUUGGUCAUUUAGAGGAAGUAAAAGUCGUAACAAGGUUUCCGUAGGUGAACCUGCGGAAGGAUCAUUAUCGAAAUUAUAGGUGAGGGUUGUAGCUGGCCUCUCGGGGCAUGUGCACGCCCGAGCCCUUAAUCCACACACACCUGUGAACCUAUUGUAAGGGCCCUUAAAAAAGGCCUUUACGUCUUAUCAUCAACCCAUCGUAUGUCUCAUAGAAUGUAAAUAUAUGUCCUCGCCUUAAAAAGCGUUGAUAAACUUAUACAACUUUCAACAACGGAUCUCUUGGCUCUCGCAUCGAUGAAGAACGCAGCGAAAUGCGAUAAGUAAUGUGAAUUGCAGAUUUUCAGUGAAUCAUCGAAUCUUUGAACGCACCUUGCGCUCCUUGGUAUUCCGAGGAGCAUGCCUGUUUGAGUGUCAUUAAAUUCUCAACUCCGAUCGAUUUGUUUCGACUUCGGAGCUUGGAUUUGGAGCGUGCUGGCGUCGGUCGGCUCCUCUUAAAUGCAUCAGCGGAAUCUAACGUUUCGGACGUCAGUGUGAUAAUCAUGUUGCGCUGUCUGUCUGAUCCGAAAGCCCGCUCACAAUGGUCUUCGGACAACUUCAUAUCAAAUUUGACCUCAAAUCAGGUAGGACUACCCGCUGAACUUAAGCAUAUCAAUAAGCGGAGGA
rnacentral:rRNA from 1 species